UUAGAUUUCUUCAAGUACAUCCCGUUCAGGUCCUUCUGAUUUAACAGAACUGUGUGGAACACCAGCAUUAUUUCAGCUGGCAGAGUGGCAUAUGUGCCCAGAACAUUCCACCACGCUGAGGUCAGCAGUCUGCAGCGAGUCACGAAUCCGCUCAUAUGCAAAAAUGAGCAACAGGCUUAGCCAUUUCUGCCCCAUGCUGUGAAGAAAUACAGUCAGCAGUGCUUUGGGAAGGCAAGGAGAGGAAUGAAUGGUGUACUUUUACCUGGGAAACAGAUUGUUUUAAGGAUUUUUUUAAUCUGUGGCCUCUAGGAACUGGAAAUAAACCAUCAGCUUAAAA